rnacentral:pre_miRNA from 1 species
UACUAAAUCGUUUCUGAUCGUUGGAUUUAGCUGGAUAAGAUAUGUAUUAUUGGAUCCAGCGAUUGGAAACAAUUUGGUA